UUGGUGGGGUAACGGCCUACCAAGGCGAUGACGGCUAGCCGGUCUGAGAGGACGAUCGGCCACACUGGGACUGAGACACUGCCCAGACUCCUACGGGAGGCUGCAGUCGAGAAUCUUCCGCAAUGGGCGAAAGCCUGACGGAGCGACACCGCGUGCAGGAUGAAGGCCUUCGGGUUGUAAACUGCUGUCACGCUAUAGGAAACGGUAGGUGUUAAUAGCGCCUAUCCUGACUAAAGCGAGAGGAAGCACCGGCUAACUCCGUGCCA
rnacentral:rRNA from 1 species